GUAGAGUUCGCAAUAUUAUGGAAAUCGCUUAAUCGGCAAAGUACAUAUUUAAAUUUGACUUUGAAAUAACAACAAAGCAGUCAAAGUCCUUUAUGCUAUUGCGCACGUAAAAUAGGAUGAGGACGCGAGGGGAGGGGUCACUUGAACGUAAACGAAGUUAGUUUCUCAUUAUCGAUCGGGCGGUGUGGAUCGUUAUUUUGUACGGUCCAAUAAAUUAUCUCCGGCUUGUAGGCUAAUGUAUUAAUACAAAUUAAUCCGAAGAGAGACAUUAACGUACCUAGAUAUUACCGUCGUGUGGUAUAUAUAAUUAUUAUUAAAUAAUGUGUUGGUUACUACAAGAAGAAUCGAGAAUAAUUUUAUUGCGCGUAUCGUUAAUUCUUCGAAAAUAUAACUUUCGUCAGGAUCGAUGAGCCGAGCUGAAUUUUUUUCGAUAAACCCUCAUCGUGCGCGUGGGAGAUAUGUCGGAACAUCACGGUACAUCGCUUUUUUAGUCGACAAAGCUUUGUGGAACUUCGUUAAUGAGAGCAAACAGAAAAUUCGGAUUUGAAAAGGAUGCUUUCAAAGGAGACUACCAGGAGGCUGUGGUUGGACUAAUUAUAUUCUCGAGAAGGAUGAAGUGUUCUUCGACGUGUUCGUGAACGUUUGAAAAAAACUAGAAGAGAUGAUAGAGUAGAAGAGGAGGUGGAAGAGAAGGACGUUUCGUGGUUCUAGUUGGCGGGUUUAUUAAUUAAGCAACGGUUACGUGCAACCAAGGCGAUUAACUUUUCUUAUCAGCGAAGAAGAAAAAGCUUGGCCGAUCGGAUUUCCCGAGCACGAAAAGCACCCACGAGCUUUUUUCUCCUCUCAGUAGUAGGAUAACCAUCGAGCUCGUUAUAUACACGAGUCAGGCUGCUGACUCACCCUGCUGGUGUAUGGCUCAGGAGUCAAGCUUUCGGAAGCAACAACGCGAGCGAACAUGGAAGGAGAGAGAGAGAGAGAGAGAGAGAGAGAGAGAGAGAGAGAGAGAGAGAAAGAGAAAGAGAGAGAGAGAGAGAGAGAGAGAGAGAGAGAGAAGGAGCUUUAUUAAUUAUUAAAACAGACUCUAAAAUUAUUUGAUACGGCCUCGUUCGUCCGCUAGUACGAAGGGUGAGAGAGAAAGAGAGAUAGAUAGACAGAGAGAGAGAAAGAGAGACAGAGAGAGAACUGCGCUUGGUGGCUGAAAGUAAAGCGGCGAGGCUAGCUCGCGCGCCACGUAUGAAUUUCGCGCGCUGCAUUAUUCAGCGGUCGGUUUGCAUAACAAUUAUGGCCGGGAUUUUAGCAUAGAGAGAACGGCCGUGCGACGCCUCGUCGGUGCAAACCAGGUACACGAACAAAAGUACGCCUUCUCUAUUUCCACCCCCUUCAUCCCUUCCUCUCUUUCACUAUAUUUCUCUCUCUCUCUCUCUCUCUCUUUCUUUCUGCUUCUCUUUCUCUUUCUCGUUCUUGCUGUCUCUUAUUCUCUUGAUAUUCGUCGGAGAAACCGAAAGAACGACGGUAACCGAACGUCGCUUUUCUUCCUCGUUUGCAAUUCCAUUUUUCAUUCGUCCUUCGGAGCUCGUCCACAAGAAUCUUUCUUUUUAUCUUUUUCUCUUUCUUUCUUAUUCUUUCUCUCUCUCUCUCUCUCUCUCUCUCUCUCUCUCUCUCUCUCCUUUUCUUUCUCCUCUCUCCUACGUCGUAGAGUGCUUCUGGAUCGUAGUUAAGGGUGGUACUUAAGGGUCGAGCCGUGCUUCCUCGAACGGUGCUGGAUACACCAACGUAAAAGUAAAUCCAUGCCACGAAAGCGAACAUUCUUUUCCUCUUUUAUCCUCUUUCUCUCUCUCUCUCUCUCUCUACUUUUCUUUUCUUUCCUUUUCUUUCCCUUCUCCCUUUUUUGUUUCUUCCAAUUUUUUUUGUCUUUCUCUUCCUUUUUUUCUUCCUCUUUUCUUCUUCUUCUUCUUCUUUUUUUCUCUCUUUUUUUUUUCCUUUUUUUUUUUUAAGAGGACCAUGCAAAUGAGAUUGAAUCUGUGAAGCGGUCGGUCCAUCCUCGACUACGUUCACGUUUUGUUCCGCAUUUUUAACCGGACUCGUAACGAAAUGAAAUGGAAGUUCACGAGAACCUACGUAGAAUCCCUUCUUCUUUCCCUCCCCCCACCCCUCCUUUUCUCUAUUAAUUCCGAAUGAUUUUUAAAGGAUCGACGAUUAAACGCGUUUAUUUCGAUAGGAAAUAUCCGAAUUGAAAUGUAUUUAACAUUGAUAUCUGUGUUCUGUUGUUCUUGUUAAUAUACAUUUAAUAUUAUUCAUUGAUAUAACACGUUGGAUAUAACACGUAGAGUAUAUUACGUAUUACAUAGAAUAUUAUUAUCACUGCGUUCAUCGUUCAUCCUGUUGGGAGACAAUAAUUUAUAGCGAUGGCUUUAUAGAUCCUGUCCGAAAGGUGUCCUGUCUGUCUGACCAAGCGUAGUCUCUAACUACUGCGAAGGAGCAAAACGGGGGUGGUUUGAGGGGGUGAGAUAGAGGGCGAGUAACAAGCAAGCACCGAAUUACAUUCCACGCACAACCAACCCCUUUCUCCGGACGAGGCAACCUCGAACGAGAGACGGUGGUGGCAGUAGUGUGAUAAGCGUUUGUUCAUACCGUGCCACUGGCUGACUGUUUAGUCGUACGUACGUGACACACGUGUCCAAGCAAGGUGACAGCCUCCGCAAGCGGAAAUGGAUGUGCCUAGUAAAGGGCCAGACUCACGAAUCCCACGUAGCUGCUACUUAAUUACGGGUUGUACUUGUAGUUUGGCAGUUUGCGUCACGUAUAGAAUUGGAGUAUACUUCUGUGUUACUUGUACGAAACAGAGAAUAUCGUCUUGAUUGGACAUCCUUCGAUCUUUACUAAUUACGUAGGAAUAAAUAUAUUCUAUAACAAGAGGAAGUUGAACGUCAACUUUUUUUUCUUGUAAUUACAGUUCUUUUAUUUUUCUUUUUCUUUUUUUUUUUUUCUUGUUUUUUUUUUCAUGCUCGAGAAAGACGUUCAUUCUUUGUUAAGUUUUAAUUGACUACUUGAUUUCUCGGAACAGUAACGAAUCUUGUCGGUUCUUUUCUUUUUCUUUUUCUUUUUCUUUUUCUUUCUCUUUUUCGUGAAACGAUUUUCUUCAAUUCGAUUUCGAUCAAAACGAUGUUUCCUCUUCGAGCAAUUCGUAAACGCAUCGGUAAUGAUAGAGACAAGUCCGAAGUAAACUCCAAAUUAUUUUUCAUAUUUUCACGAAUUGGCUUGGAUUUCUCUUGGUUUCGUUCUUUUUGUCCGAGCAUCCGAUAGAGCUAUAGCACUUCAUGCAACGAAGACAUUCCUCGAUCGAUCUGUCAACGACAAAAUCUCAUUCCUCUUCGCUGCCAACCCGUUCGGAAAAGAAAAGCUCCGUAGAACUUCAUCUUCGCGCGAAUCCGGACAAAACUUUAAGACCUUGUGGAAAACAAAAAUGAGAAGAAGAAGAAGAAGAAGAAGAAGAAGAAGAAGAACAAGAACAAGAAGAAGAAGAAGAUCCUUGCAUAAGCCGUUACGUCUUCGAACUCGUUAUUUCGAAGCAUCCCUUUUCUUAUCUUCGUUGUGGAUGUUCGAACCUCUUAGCAGCAGCCUAUCGGUGAAAUGCGAGUAAUCAGACCAUUAUGAAGAUUCCAGAAGGUUCCCUCUCAUCAGCAGACGGCAUCACUUCGGUCCUAUCUAGAGAAAGAGAGAGAAAUAUAUAUAUAUAUAUAUAUAUAUAUAUAUAUAUUACGAGAGUAAAAGAGAGAGAGAGAGGGGGGGGGAGGGCGGGAAGGAAUGGGUGGCUCGCCUCAAUGGAACCAAUUAAUUUCCCUCGCACCCGGAAACGCAUCACGGUGAUCCGGUUGGUGCAUUGAAAUAGAGGUGAGUAGAGGGAAUGGAGAAGGUAGUGAUGGUACAUUGGUGAUUGCAACUACGUAAUAGUAGCUGUAGUGGUGAUGGUAAUGGUGGUGAUGGUGGUGGUGGUGGUGGUGUUGGUGAUGGUGAGUGUCACCAGUAGAGAACUUUCCGAGGACGAAUAAGUUUUAAUUACGCGCGGUCAAAGGUGGCACGAGCCACGUCGGAAAUUUCAUUAACCGCCAGCGCUAUCUGCGACUUCCGCUUCUCGACGGAGCUUCGCUAAUUUCAGCAAGGAAGAGAAGGGAAGGGAAGGGAAGGGUGAAUGAUGGUUGCGGUGAUGGUGACUGGGGAAUGAAAAAGAAGAAGAAGAGUACGAUGGAAAAACGAGGGUGGAAGGAAGAGAGCGGUUUGUUUGCUUCCUCGGUUGGAAGAAAAGCAGGGAAUCUCUAUGAAGAAGAAGUUAAGAUCGAAAAGGAAUCUUUCUUAAGCAGGUGCCGCUUGAAUUUAUCUUGGAAGGAGGGAGACAGAAUUUCAUCAAGGCCACGCUGUGACCGAGCUCGUAAACGAAAGAUACGAGCGCGUACCUUCUCGCGGUUUAUCGUCAGAACUUUUCGUACGCUCAAGGAAUAUUGCGUUUCGACUUUUAACGGCUUCUCGAGAGAGAGAGAGAGAGAGAGAGAGAGAGAGAGAGAGAAAAGAAAGGUCGAUGAACGAAUACGGAGAGGGUAGGAUCUGAUAUAUUCUUUCAAAGAGACGUUGAACGUUUGUAAAGUCUCCCUUCGUACGUCUGUGUAUAUGUCUGUAUGUCCGUGAAACUCGCAUUUAUUAUCGAACGGAGUUUGGUCGAUUCCGACUAUUUCUAUCUCACUCGCGUACACCGAGAGCUAUUUCGGCCAUACGCUCUCGACCGAGCGUAAACAGUCGGCCGAAAUCAAACGAGCUCGUUUAACCCUUAAUCACAGACGCCGCUUCUGUCUGCAUACUUGUGCUCGCAUAUCUCUCCAAGUAGGCCACUUAAAAUGCGCAUAUAUAAUAAAGGACCCUUCUACACAGUGAUCGUGAUAGUGUUCGUGGUGUUAGUGCUUGGGUGAUGGUGGUUGAGAGUUAACUCUAAACGGCCACGGGUAAUACCGAUCUCUCUGUGCGUAAUUAUCGAGAGUGUUCUCACGGAAAGAGACUAAUAUUUUCGAUCGCGUUUAAUGGAAUUACGGCGAAGAUUCUAAUCGAAAAUAAUUCUUCUUUUACCUUCAAGUUUACGAAUGGUAGAGGAAUCAUUUUCUAACGUUUAUAUAUAUUUCGAAGAAACAAAUGAUAGAAGAAAGGAUUGUUGCGUUGAAACGAUUCGAAACGAGUUGUUUUAAAAACUAUCCUCGAUCGUUCAUAAAACGAUAUUUGUCGUAAAAAAAAAAAAAUAAGAUAACGCACGAAGAGAAUUUUGACGGGGUGAUUGUACGCGAUGGUGAAAGAAAAAAGAAAAAGAAGAAAAAAGAGGAAAACGAAAGAAAGAAAUUCUUUUUCUUUUUUCUGUUUCUUUUUUUUUUUUUUUUGAAGAGAGUUUACGAAGCACUCUCAUGAAAAGGGCUGUAGCGGUAACAGCGAGCACGAUUUUAUCACUUAGAAAGUGGCGAACGCGUGAAAGUUUCGGAUUCUCCCAAAAAUUUCCAUUUUUAGUAUCGGGUCAGAUAUGUGUGAACCUUUCGUCCUCCUCGUUCUUUUUCUCCCCUUCUUUUUCCCCUUUCUUUCUUUCUUUCUUUCUUCUUCUUCUUCUUCGUGACGCCACAGGCAAUGCGAGCUUUCGCAGAAGAGAUAUCGAAAGAUUUGAAGGAGUCUCGGUGGAUUGUUUGAAAAAGGAUUUUCCGUAGAGACAGAUCAUAUCAAUGAAAAGAGAAGGGAGAAGGGAAAAAAACGAGGGAGAGAGAAACAAUAGAGGAUGAAAAGAAAGAGAGAAAAAAAAGGAUGAAGAAAAAGAGAAGAAGAAGAAAAAGUAAAAUGGUCUGCGAGUAUGGACGAGAAAUAUUUACGAAAGCCAUCGGGAUCUCGUCCAACUCGACUUCUCCUUUUUCGAGGAACGCCUUCGAUUUAUUAUAAGGAGAGCCUGGAGGAACGAAGAAUGAGGAGGGAAGAAGAGAGUGCCGGGAAAAGAGAUUAACGAUCGUCUUGGAUCAUAAAUUUCGUGUCGUGCUAGCUACGAAACGAAAGCUUGCGUUCCCGUCCUAACGAAUGAUAAUUUGUGCGAGAAAGUUAAGUGCGAUUUACCUAAAGAAAAAAGACGGAAGGACUUGAGGUGACGUACUAACGACAAAAAGACGAUAUCUUGCAAAAUUUUUCUUUUUUCUUUUUUCUUUUUCCUUUUUUUUUUCUUUUGUUUUCUUAAUUUCGUUUCAAUUACAAAUCGUCAGCCAUCGUUCCUAUUCGUGAUUGUAUAUUCGAAGCAAUAUAUUCACGUGUAUUGUAUAGAAGAUAAACACAUACAUUGUAUAGAAUAAUUUUAAGGAUGACCGUACUUCUUUCUAUUAUCUCUCUUUACACAAUACAUAAAUACGUACACACACGAUAUAGAAAUAUAUCGAAGAUCAGGCAAUACAUUUACAUUAUACUUUCCGUUAUAAUCCUUUUUCUUUCUUUUGUAAAUAUUGAAACUAAUACAUCGAGAUCAUCGCAAUAUACUUUAUCUUAUAUUUACUAAGCGUAACGAAAGAGAAUCAAUCGGACAGUAUCAUUUCAGCUUUGAUAAAAAUCUCGAUAUUUUUCAAACGUAACUAAAGAUAAAAUACUCAGUCUAAGAAAUAGCAAGACUUUCUUUAAAAUCAUUUAUCAUUCCCGGUCAUCUUAUCUCGAAACAGUCUUGGAUCCUUGGAAAUUUCAGUGAGCGUAGUUAUUUUCAAUAAUCGCGACUUUACAACGAUGUCGAGGAUUUGAAUAUUUUAUAAAUGGAUUUGCAAGGCAAAUCUAUUUAUGAAAGACGAAGACGCUUGAAAAGGUGCAAACGAGGUGAGAAAAGCGUAGGUACCCUCCUAAUUUUGCGAUUCUCUUCACGAAGUACUCAGGAGAGAAAGAGAUCUAUAAGCAACAGUGUCAGGAAAGUUGAUAGUGGUAGAAAGGACUCUCUAAAGAUGGCUUCGGUAGGACGAAGGAAACUAGAGAAAUUCUCUUCCCUAGUCAAAUAAACUCUCGUCUUGUCCCGGUAGCCUCAUAAAGUAGAGUCGGCCUGCACGUGUCCGCCUUCUACAUAAAAGCAUGCGCGUAUAAGCGUAUACUAGCUCAUCCACUCGUUUGCGUUGCUAGUCGGACCGGCAAAAUUCACUUCCAAAGACAUUUCAACCUCCAGGUGCACGUGAGACAUACCCGGAUGAGUAUAUAUACGUAUAUAUAUGUAUAUAUAGUAUGUAUAUAUAGUAUGUAUAUAUAUAUAUCUAUGUAUUUACGUAUACCCAUAUAUAACACACAUACACAUAUAUCAUAUAUAUAUAUGCACUAGACGUAGCUGUUCUUGUGACUUCGCGUUUGCUAGAAUUCUGUCUGUAUGUCUGUCUGUCUGUGUCGGUGUCUCUCUAUUUCAUUCAGUUCUACAUUAUGAAAUAAAUAAUCAAAAAUCUACCUCAUUUAUAAACUACUUCGCAUUCUAUUAGAUUUUAAAAACCUUCCAAAUUAUUCCAUAUAAUUCGUUAUCAGAUUUCUACUUUACGAAAUGAAAUUGAUUAAAAUGAAGUACUAAUGGAUCUAAUAUAUUUCAUAUCUGAGGAGUUAAUUUUGAGAUAUUACAUAUUUAAUUAAACUUCGUAUGUUAGAUGUAGCAAUUGAUGUGAGGAUUUUCUACGAGUUAACUCCUGAAUAAAAUACGCAUUUACGUCCAUCCAUCUCUCUCUCUCUCUCUCUCUCUCUCUCUCUCUCUUUCUCUCUCUCUUUUCGACUUCUCUUCCGACGUUACAUAUUCACCUUCCAAAUAUUACCAGGAUAGGAGUUACGGAUAACUCGUAACUCCUGCCUCGGAGCAACUGCCUUCCGACAACCCUCCCCCUCCCUCCCCCUCCCACUCUGCUUCUACAACCCUUCCGUCCGCGACCUUUCCAACGUUUGAUAUAUUACGUUGACGUGGUGGCGUUGGUUCGCCCAUACACCAACCAAAAUGAAUUGAGAUAAAGCAGAAAGAAAUUUAGUGGCGUUGGGACGCCGUUCCCCGAGCUAUACCACCACCGUUACCUCUAGCAACCCUCUUAAAACAAACUUUCUUCGAGGAAUAUGGGCAAAAGAGAAAAAGAAAAAGAAAAAAAAUGAGAGAAUCGCGCUCCCGAUUAAUUUUUAAACGUGGCUCGAAGUAAUAGUCGAAAAAUGAACGCGGGAAAAAUCUCGAGAAUAUCGUCGACUUGUCCGGUAAAACGGAAAAGAGGAGGGGGUGGAGAAGGAGGAGGGGGUGGUAAAGGCGUCGCGUGAGCGCGAUUAAAAAUCGUCGACAUUAAUUUCGCGUCGGACGUGGAGAGACCCCAGGUUGAGCAACAAUAUACAGGGUGUUUCAUUAACCUUGAUCGUUUAGCACUUUCAUUAUCCGUGCUACAAUGUGAUCCGUAAUGUGGAAGAUGAAAAUGGUUUCUUUCGAAGAACGAAUGUACUUUUUCUCUGGUUUCUUCUUGUUUUUCGUUCUUUUUUUUUUUUGUUCAAGGAUAGCAUAUCCUUCUCGAAUAUUUCAUUGUACGAUGGUGAGAGACAGAAAAAGAGAAAAAGAGAGAGGGAGAAUGAUCAAGUCGAGUGGAACACCCAGUACACGUAUACAUAUCUAUCCAUCUCUCUCUCUCUCUUUCUUUCAACAGCAUUCGUAUUUCAUCUUCAGACGCGUGCUAAUGUUUCGUGGAAAAGACGCAAGCGUGCUCCCCUCAUCCCUUCCUUCUAUCAUCCCUUUCUUUCUUCCUCCUUCCCUCAGCUUCCUUUUUCACUGGCAGAUAGCCGUGCGGGCGUUGAAUGCAGGCGCGAACGAACGAUAUGAGCGAACGACUCCCUUAAGGCGCUUUUUAUCGUGCUCGCGAGCGCGUUCCGAAUGGCUUGGCAGUUCGAAUCUUGCACCGUUCUUGGUACACGCCUUGAGGCGUGCUUUAGCUUGUGUAUAUGUAAUAUAUAUCUGUAAAUGUGUGUGUGUGUGUGUGUGUGUAUAUAUAUAUACACAUAUAUAUGUGUGUAUUUCUCUCUCUCUUUCUCUCUGUGUGUGUGUGUGUGUGUACGCGCAUAUUUAUAUGUGUAGGAGAGAAACCUGAACGGAAGAAAAGGGAUGACGAUAGUAGUAAGAUAAGAAUUUACGUG